AACCCGAUACUUGCUUUGGGGGAUUAGUGGCGAACGGGUGAGUAACACGUGAGCAACCUGCCCCUCACUCUGGGAUAAGCGCUGGAAACGGCGUCUAAUACUGGAUACGAGACGCGACCGCAUGGUCAGUGUCUGGAAAGAUUUUUUGGUGGGGGAUGGGCUCGCGGCCUAUCAGCUUGUUGGUGAGGUAAUGGCUCACCAAGGCGUCGACGGGUAGCCGGCCUGAGAGGGUGACCGGCCACACUGGGACUGAGACACGGCCCAGACUCCUACGGGAGGCAGCAGUGGGGAAUAUUGCACAAUGGGCGGAAGCCUGAUGCAGCAACGCCGCGUGAGGGAUGACGGCCUUCGGGUUGUAAACCUCUUUUAGCAGGGAAGAAGCGAAAGUGACGGUACCUGCAGAAAAAGCACCGGCUAACUACGUGCCAGCAGCCGCGGUAAUACGUAGGGUGCAAGCGUUAUCCGGAAUUAUUGGGCGUAAAGAGCUCGUAGGCGGUUUGUCGCGUCUGCUGUGAAAUCCCGAGGCUCAACCUCGGGCCUGCAGUGGGUACGGGCAGACUAGAGUGCGGUAGGGGAGAUUGGAAUUCCUGGUGUAGCGGUGGAAUGCGCAGAUAUCAGGAGGAACACCGAUGGCGAAGGCAGAUCUCUGGGCCGUAACUGACGCUGAGGAGCGAAAGGGUGGGGAGCAAACAGGCUUAGAUACCCUGGUAGUCCACCCCGUAAACGUUGGGAACUAGUUGUGGGGUCCUUUCCACGGAUUCCGUGACGCAGCUAACGCAUUAAGUUCCCCGCCUGGGGAGUACGGCCGCAAGGCUAAAACUCAAAGGAAUUGACGGGGACCCGCACAAGCGGCGGAGCAUGCGGAUUAAUUCGAUGCAACGCGAAAAACCUUACCAAGGCUUGACUUA
rnacentral:rRNA from 1 species